UCUUAAACACAAGCCAAUAUGAUUCUGUUCAUCUGGGCAUUUUACUGCAUCCAAGGUUCUUUUGGGCAGGUUGUUGUGACCCAGUCUGAUGAUAAAUCAGUUCAGCUCGGUCAAACAGUCUCCAUUGAGUGUAAGGUCAACACUGCAGUUUAUAGGCUUCCAACAGGCUCAGUAUCCAAAGAUUACUCAUUCUCCUGGUAUCUUCAGAGGCCAGAUGAAUCCCCUAAACUCCUUAUAUAUUUCACAACAAUGAAGCCUUCAAGUGCUCCAUCUAGAAUGAGCGGUGGAGGCAGUUUUCACUCUGGAGGAAAUGGUCUUGAUUUCACUUUGACUAUAAACGAUGCUCAGCUUGAAGAUGCAGGAGAUUAUUACUGUAUGAGUGUCCAUAAUAUCAAUGACAAAUGGGUGUUCACACAGUGAAAACGUGCUGUACAAAAACCUCCCUAUACUGACAAUCUAAGCAGGUUCCAGGUCAUGCUGAAAAACGAAAUCUUCAUCUCCAUAAAGCUUUUCAGCAGAUGGAAGCAUGAAGUGCUCCAAAAUCUCCUGAUAGCUAGCUGCAUUGACCCUGCCUUU